UUUUUGGCAGAGUUUCACUUCCAGCUAAAGAAUCGCUUGAACUCUUCAGUUUGCCCUAUAGCCAAUAGAAACAUCAGAUAAUAAGAUUCCCAACCAGUGAAAACAAACUAAAAAAAAAAAAAAGCCAUCUUAAGUUGUCUUGGUGGAGGCUUCUGAUUGGCCAAGAAUGGGUCCCUCGUCGCAUUUGCAGCCUCGACACUGUGGGAGCAGACUUUAUUUACCUGUGGUGUUGCGCCAUGGUCGCUGUAGGAAUUUUAUGUCACUUUACUUAAAUCUGAGUGGUGGAUCUGAAAGCAGGUGAAGUAAGCUUCGAACGGUGACAUUUUCAAAAUGGCAGAUGAACUGCCACAACAGGAAUCUUUAAAAAUGGGCUUUUGUGUUCAGUGAAGGUGUUGAAGACAUAAUCAUGGAACUUACUCAGGGUUGUUUUCUUGUUGGUUACAUUUAAAGAGGAUCACCACGAACAGGAUGUGGGAAAAGAAAGCUUCUUAAUCUGCAAGAAUUGACAGCAUCCAAAAAGUUUGUAAAUUAGUUUCAGAGGUUUUAAUGUGAUGCCACAAGCUGCUUUCACUGUAUAUUAUGAUAGCACAAGCUCCUUUCACUGUAUAUUAUGAUAGCACAAGCUCCUUUCACUGUA